CUGAUGGACACCUUAUCCUUUACUAGGUGCUCCAGUCCUGGCUCUGGCAGGAGAGUUCGGUAUUUUGCCUUUUGUGUUCAUCCUGAUCUUAAUGUAAAUUGCAAUGAUUUGGUAAACUGCAUGAUCUUUCCCCAGUCUAGUUCUCACUGUCAUCACUUCUACUGGCACAGCCUUUUGGGUCACUGCUCUCUCACCCUGUGUUUUUUAAUUUGUAUGUAUUCAGGAAUGGAGGAGGAGUCUGUCAGGGCUCAAAGGGACACCUGCACAACCAAGUGCUCUAUCUCCAGGGCUUGAGGGAAGCUGGAGGAAGCAGUUUGGGGGACUACAGGAAACUGGCCAGUUUCUGGGACAGUCUUUCCAACACCCUCAUGGAUACAGAAGCAAAUGCUCUGAAACUGGAGGAUUGGUCGAGUUAGAUGGAUCUGACAUUCACAGCUUGUUAAUCAUCAGAACCCCAGGUCAAGCUGGUGCACCCUGCCCCGGGAAGCAUUUAAAAUCUAGAUCCUGAUUUAGAGGCUGGAGCCAACUGUUGGAUAAUAGGUCCUAGGAGAUGGCAACACUUUGAAUCACAGGAACAGAUCUUGCAUUACCUGGACUUCCCAAGUUAUGAUGAGCUGCAGAGAAGUCUCAGCCUGGCUGUGGUCCCUGUCGCCGGACAGACGUGCUCUCCACCCCAUCCUCGGUUUGCUCUUUGGAGCCUGUCUCCCAGAGGUGAAAAUCCUUUCUGCAUCGACCUUCUUGACCGCACGGCACCUCUAUACGAUGGAGAAGGUAGACACUGUGUCUUUGUAGUCUGAAUAAACA